CCGACCUUAGCUCAGUUGGUAGAGCGGAAGACUGUAGAUCUUUUGGUCGCUGGUUUGAAUCCGGCAGGUCGGA
rnacentral:tRNA from 1 species